GGUGCUGGACCUGCGAGUCAAGAGGGAGGAGGAAGAUGGGCCGGCGGAGCCAGGGAGGAGGGAACAUCCCUUUGGGCACAGGCACCUCCCUGUAAUCAGGGCUCAGGUGGGGCACGAGCAUCCCUGGCCCUUGUGGGCCUCCUGCUUCCCUGGAGCUGAGCAGCCGCCCCGUAAGCGGGGCUGGGGUGCCUGCUCUUCUGGCCUUUGGCCACCAGGCUCCGCUGGCUGGCUGGCUGGCUGUUUGGCUGCCUUGUGUGCUGCUGAGAGAGUGUGUUUGCUGAUGCUCGUGCAUUUUGGGGGAGCCGUUUUGUGCCAGCAGCCCCUCGAGCUCCCUGUAGCCAGGGCUGAGGACCCAGGGCCCUGGUGCCCCGCUGCUGGCCCCCUGGAAGCGGGCUUUGUGCCGCAAGGCUCUCCUGGAUGGGAGCUGCGGAGCCUUUGGAGCCCCCGAGCCGACCCUGCUGUGAGGGUUUGGCGCUCUGCCUGGCGGCUUCAUGCCGUGUUGGCCAGCCAGCCAGCCUGGCAGCCCCGUCAUCGGGGUGCAUGCCGUGGGGCGCCACUGCUCCCCAGAGAGAGGCGGGGUGCCCUUUGCUGGACGGAGCCGCGGGGACAGCCCUGUAAGUUGGGGUGAGGAAAGUCCCCUGCUUUGCCCUUGGGGCUGUUGUAGCAAGCGGGCCAGGAGGAGAACCCUCUAAGGAGGGCAGAAGCUUUUUCCUGGGGCUGCUCCCUCCCUUCCACCCCUAGAAACUGUGCCCAGAGGCCCAGACCUCCGCGGCCAAGGUGGCGUCCGCCGGCCCGAGCCAGGGCUUCAGCCGCGGCUGCUGAGCAGCUCGCAAAGAAGAAAGCAAGGCAGAAGAGGACGGCGCUGGACCUGCGAGUCAAGAGGGAGGAGGAAGAUGGGCCGGCGGAGCCAGGGAGGAGGGAACAUCCCUUUGGGCACAGGCACCUCCCUGUAAUCAGGGCUCAGGUGGGGCACGAGCAUCCCUGGCCCUUGUGGGCCUCCUGCUUCCCUGGAGCUGAGCAGCCGCCCCGUAAGCGGGGCUGGGGUGCCUGCUCUUCUGGCCUUUGGCCACCAGGCUCCGCUGGCUGGCUGGCUGGCUGUUUGGCUGCCUUGUGUGCUGCUGAGAGAGUGUGUUUGCUGAUGCUCGUGCAUUUUGGGGGAGCCGUUUUGUGCCAGCAGCCCCUCGAGCUCCCUGUAGCCAGGGCUGAGGACCCAGGGCCCUGGUGCCCCGCUGCUGGCCCCCUGGAAGCGGGCUUUGUGCCGCAAGGCUCUCCUGGAUGGGAGCUGCGGAGCCUUUGGAGCCCCCGAGCCGACCCUGCUGUGAGGGUUUGGCGCUCUGCCUGGCGGCUUCAUGCCGUGUUGGCCAGCCAGCCAGCCUGGCAGCCCCGUCAUCGGGGUGCAUGCCGUGGGGCGCCACUGCUCCCCAGAGAGAGGCGGGGUGCCCUUUGCUGGACGGAGCCGCGGGGACAGCCCUGUAAGUUGGGGUGAGGAAAGUCCCCUGCUUUGCCCUUGGGGCUGUUGUAGCAAGCGGGCCAGGAGGAGAACCCUCUAAGGAGGGCAGAAGCUUUUUCCUGGGGCUGCUCCCUCCCUUCCACCCCUAGAAACUGUGCCCAGAGGCCCAGACCUCCGCGGCCAAGGUGGCGUCCGCCGGCCCGAGCCAGGGCUUCAGCCGCGGCUGCUGAGCAGCUCGCAAAGAAGAAAGCAAGGCAGAAGAGGACGGC